GAUGGUGGCCGUACCUGCUUGUUAAUGCCAGAUUUUAGCACAUCUCGGAAGCUAGGCAGGGCGUGGUUAGUACUUGGAUGGAAGACCACUGGGAAUACCAGGUGCCUUCAUGC
rnacentral:rRNA from 1 species